rnacentral:rRNA from 1 species
GACGUAGGGGGCAAGCGUUGUCCGGAAUCAUUGGGCGUAAAGCGCGUGUAGGCGGCCCGAUAAGUCCGCUGUGAAAGUCCAGGGCUCAACCCUGGAAUGCCGGUGGAUACUGUCGGGCUAGAGUCCGGAAGAGGCGAGUGGAAUUCCUGGUGUAGCGGUGAAAUGCGCAGAUAUCAGGAGGAACACCGGUGGCGAAGGCGGGUCUCUGGGCCGAUACUGACGCUGAGGAGCGAAAGCGUGGGGAGCGAACAGG